rnacentral:snoRNA from 2 species
AAUAAAAAUGAUGACUUACACGCCCCAGUCUGAGAACUGUGACUGAUAGUGUAUUCUGAUAAA